UUGGGAGAUCCUACUUAAAUGGAAGCAAUAACAAUUAGUGUAGCAAAAAAUAGUUCAUCACCCCUGAAAUUUCUACAACUCAUAAGAAGAAGAAACUCUAUGAGACAAGACAGGUUAUUGGCAAUCAAACGAAAACUCCAUGGCCCGAUCUUAUGAUGUUACAUAUGAUUUUUCUUAAUAAAUAUUUUAUUGAAAAUAAAUUAUUUCAUUGGCAAUGUAUGCAGGUUUCCUCACGUUGUUGAUCCUUCACCGAAAAGCUAGCGAAUAGAUUAUGAAUGCAUUGAGAUAUUAUGUUAUAUGGAUGAAUGUGAUGUCUCUAAUACGAAUUGAGCUAGCGUGAGGACAACAGACCAUUUCGAGGAAGUCUAUGUCCAGUAUUGGGACAUCGUGUAAUUAAGUACGCUGAUAAUCUCGAAGUUUAUUAAAAUAAAACUGAGUACGUGACUUUGACAGGAAUUUGCCACGGCCCCAGAUGGCCUAGUUAUGCCACUGACCCCCAGGGGCAAUAAGAAAUGCAAAUACUUAGCCUAUUAUAAUUUAAAUACGAUAUGAAGUACUGUUUUCAUUUUUCUAAGCAUCUUAUGUUCGCGGAAACAUAUACAAUUUAGUUUUUUCUUUGAAAUAUUAAGCAUUAAUUGAAGGGUUCUGGUGCAGAAGUCCCAAAAUCCACUUAGGGACUUUUAGUGCUGAUAUUACCAGCGUGUAGAGCUAGU